rnacentral:rRNA from 1 species
GCCUAAUACAUGCAAGUCGAGCGAACGGACGAGAAGCUUGCUUCUCUGAUGUUAGCGGCGGACGGGUGAGUAACACGUGGAUAACCUACCUAUAAGACUGGGAUAACUUCGGGAAACCGGAGCUAAUACCGGAUAAUAUUUUGAACCGCAUGGUUCAAAAGUGAAAGACGGUCUUGCUGUCACUUAUAGAUGGAUCCGCGCUGCAUUAGCUAGUUGGUAAGGUAACGGCUUACCAAGGCAACGAUGCAUAGCCGACCUGAGAGGGUGAUCGGCCACACUGGAACUGAGACACGGUCCAGACUCCUACGGGAGGCAGCAGUAGGGAAUCUUCCGCAAUGGGCGAAAGCCUGACGGAGCAACGCCGCGUGAGUGAUGAAGGUCUUCGGAUCGUAAAACUCUGUUAUUAGGGAAGAACAUAUGUGUAAGUAACUGUGCACAUCUUGACGGUACCUAAUCAGAAAGCCACGGCUAACUAUGUGCCAGCAGCCGCGGUAAUACGUAGGUGGCAAGCGUUAUCCGGAAUUAUUGGGCGUAAAGCGCGCGUAGGCGGUUUUUUAAGUCUGAUGUGAAAGCCCACGGCUCAACCGUGGAGGGUCAUUGGAAACUGGAAAACUUGAGUGCAGAAGAGGAAAGUGGAAUUCCAUGUGUAGCGGUGAAAUGCGCAGAGAUAUGGAGGAACACCAGUGGCGAAGGCGACUUUCUGGUCUGUAACUGACGCUGAUGUGCGAAAGCGUGGGGAUCAAA